CAGUAGCCACGGGAAUACAGAGGGUGCGAGCGUUAAUCGGAUUUACUGGGCGUAAAGCGUGCGUAGGCGGCUAAUUGAGUCGGAUGUGAAAUCCCCGAGCUUAACUUGGGAAUUGCAUUCGAUACUGGUUAGCUAGAGUGUGGGAGAGGAUGGUAGAAUUCCAGGUGUAGCGGUGAAAUGCGUAGAGAUCUGGAGGAAUACCGAUGGCGAAGGCAGCCAUCUGGCCUAAUACUGACGCUGAGGUACGAAAGCAUGGGGAGCAAACAGGAUUAGAUACCCGGGUAGUCCCUGUCUCUUAUAA
rnacentral:rRNA from 1 species